rnacentral:rRNA from 1 species
UCAAGAGUACGUGAAACCGUUCAGGGGUAAACCUGAGAAACCCAAAAGAUCGAAUGGGGAGAUUCAUCGUCAGCGGUGUUGGCUUCCGUGUGGAUGCGAUGGCCGAAACUCGGUUUUGCGUCACGCGUCGCUGCGGUUUGUCUGGCCUCGUCGGCGUGCACUUCUCCCCUAGUAGGACGUCGCGACCCGUUGGGUGCUGCCCACGGCCCGGUUGGUCGACUGUCACGUCGCGUUCGCGUGCACGCGGCAGAUCAGUCACCUGGCCGGCUGCCCGACGGUAUAGAUCGCUAAUGGUAUUGGGCCGCAUAUGUGCGUUCCGGCUCGUCGGCAGGCACGUCUCGCUCGGAUACGGACCUAGUGCCGUUGCCGGGUGCUUGACGUUGCCUUAGUCGACGAUGUCCUCGAACUGGCUCUUCUUCGAACGGAUUUACCGGUCGGCGACGCUACGCUUUGGAUACUGCGUUACUGG